AUGAAGAGAAGAGAGCUGCAUUCCCUACUUGCAAUUCUAGUAACUAUCUUUGUUAUAACUUGUAGAGUGUACCCGCAAAAAAAACUUGUAGAGUGUGAUGGAUUAAUUGGGAUGCUAUGUAAUCAGAGUACGUACCCUAUCAUAUGUAUCAUGACUGAUUGCGACCAAGGUCUGCAUUCUGUGAAGAAGACUCCCAUUUAUAUGUUUAUUAGUGAUACUUUGUUGCGCUUGCUCUACUACUUCUGUACAUUAUUUGUGGAAUUGGUCUUAUGUAGCACUAUUUCAACUGGAGUUGGUCGAGUCCUGCUCAUUUUUCAAAUGUUGUGUCUUAUCCUAAGCUUGUUGAUAGGUGAUCAUUUCAGUACUGGCUUGUCAUGUACUGACCCUGAACUCUGA
rnacentral:rRNA from 1 species